UGAAAUAGCACAGGCAUGGAAAAGGUCUCCCAGGUCCUCCGUAUGAGAUGGCAGCCAGCGGUGGAGGCAGGAAUACAAAUAAGAUGAAGUUCACUAAGUUCUCAGACCCAGGAGUGACUAGGGACAUGGAAAAGAGAGCAGUGAUAAUCAAACUCUCCAUCCCUCCACAUCUGGUAAACCUCCCUUUCCACAAUGCCAUGAUUUUGUGCAAUUAGAGAAGCAGAAACCUGCAAAUUCACUGUCUGCAGAUAAAUGGGGCCAUUUCACCUUCCCUGGUACCUCACAGAUCAGGUAGCAAGUGAUGGAGCAUUUCUACGUGUAUCCAAACCUUUGCAAAAUGGGUUGCCAUCAUUUCCUUGUAAUGGAUAGACAAAGUCCAGGCACUUCUUUGGCACCCUUAUAGCUUUGAAAAGCUGAUGCUGAUGACUUCAGUGAAGAUAGCAUUGUUGCAUAAUGUCCACAAAUCAUU
ensembl:lncRNA novel transcript